GCUAGGGUAGCUCAGUCAGUAGAGCAAGAGACUCUUAAUCUGAGGGUCGUGGGUUUGAGCCCCACGUUGGGCA